rnacentral:rRNA from 1 species
CUCCUACCGAUUGGGUGUGCUGGUGAAGCGUUCGGAUUGGCGCUGGUGGGCGGUUUUCCGCCUCCCCUCGCUGAGAAGUUCGUUAAACCCUCCCACCUAGAGGAAGGAGAAGUCGUAACAAGGUU